UGGGGAAUAUUGCACAAUGAGGGAAACCCUGAUGCAGCGACGCCGCGUGAGCGAAGAAGGUUUUCGAAUCGUAAAGCUCUGUCCUAUGAGAAGAUAAUGACGGUAUCAUAGGAGGAAGCCCCGGCUAAAUACGUGCCAGCAGCCGCGGUAAUACGUAUGGGGCGAGCGUUGUCCGGAAUUAUUGGGCGUAAAGGGUACGUAGGCGGUCUAUUAAGUCAGGUGUGAAAGCGUGAGGCUUAACCUCAUUAAGCACUUGAAACUGAUAGACUUGAGUGAAGGAGAGGAAAGUGGAAUUCCUAGUGUAGCGGUGAAAUGCGUAGAUAUUAGGAGGAAUACCGGUGGCGAAGGCGACUUUCUGGACUUUUACUGACGCUCAGGUACGAAAGCGUGGGGAGCAAACAGG
rnacentral:rRNA from 1 species